UACAGAGGUCCCAAGCGUUGUCCGGAGUUACUGGGCGUAAAGCGCACGCAGGCGGUCGCGUAAGAGUGCGGGGACAGUGGGCGGCUUAACUGCCCAAGGGUCGCACAGACUGCGUGACUGGAGGGCCAGAGAGGGACCUGGAAUUCCGGGUGGAGCGGUGAAAUGCGUAGAGAUCCGGAGGAACACCAAUGGCGAAGGCAGGGUCCUGGCUGGCACCUGACGCUGAUGUGCGAAAGCCAGGGGAGCGAACGGG
rnacentral:rRNA from 1 species